GAAUAAAGGAAUGAGCUGGAGCUAGAUGCAAAAUGGUGUCACAGGCCGCGAUUUCCUCCUGCUUUCCAUGAGCCAGUUUAUCAAGAGGAUAUCUAAGUUCAAGAAUCUGUCUGAUUUAAGAUCACAGCUCAGGAGAUCUUUGGGGAGACGUUUUUUCUUGGUCCCAUCACCCUUAGAGGCAUACCAGAUGAUGACACAAGAAUGGGCCUUCUUGUUGGCUGUUCCCAGGCUGCAGAGGUCAAGGAG